UGACGCAGCGACGCCGCGUGCGGGAUGAGGCCCUCGGGUUGUAAACCGCUUCAGCAGGGACGAAAUUGACGGUACCUGCAGAAGAAGGCCCGGCCAACUACGUGCCAGCAGCCGCGGUAAUACGUAGGGGGCCAAGCGUUGUCCGGAUUUAUUGGGCGUAAAGAGCUCGUAGGCGGUUCGGCAAGUCAGUUGUGAAAUCUCCGCGCUCAACGCGGAGGGGGUCAGCUGAAACUGCCGUGACUUGAGUCUGGUAGGGGAGUGUGGAAUUCCCGGUGUAGCGGUGAAAUGCGCAGAUAUCGGGAGGAACACCAGUGGCGAAGGCGGCACUCUGGGCCAGUACUGACGCUGAGGAGCGAAAGCGUGGGGAGCGAACAGGAUUAGAUACCCUGGUAGUCCACGCCGUAAACGUUGGGCACUAGGUGUGGGGACCUAUCGACGGUUUCCGUGCCGUAGCUAACGUCAUUAAGUGCCCCGCCUGGGGAGUGCGGCCGCAAGGCUA
rnacentral:rRNA from 1 species